ensembl:lncRNA
GCAUGUCACACUGCUGGUCACGUGACUUAGCUGGGCGUGGCUAAUGGUGGCGUAAUUAAAUCGCUCUGCUUAAUUGAAGUGAUUCGUUUGUAACCGAGCAGCAGCCAAAAUAUCAGACUGUUUUCCUGUACAUAAACAUAAAGAUGGAGAAAAUGUGAAAAGAGAGGAGGAGUGAGAGAGAGAGAGAGAGAGAGAGAGAGAGAGAGAGAGAGAGAAAGAAAGAAAGAAAGAAAGAAAGAAAGAAAGAAAGAAAGAAAGAGGACAGCGUAAAGUUCUCAGGAUUAGUUCACUUGUAUUAUUUAUUUUUAUUUCUAUUUCUAACUUCCGGUCCUGGUGCUGCCUCGUCUCCGUCCUCCACACUGAACUGAACUCGAACAGGAUUUAAACGGCAGUAUUCGGUGAGAGAAAAGUGCGGAUGUUGAUCAGAUGAUAAAAAAAAAGAAGAAGAAAGCUGCAGUAAGUUGCUGAGUGAUGGUGAGUUCAGCGCCUGCACAGUCCUGACACUCAGUCCUGAGAUUAAUGUCCCAGGCCGCGUCCCAAACCACAGAGCACAGCGGUGUGUAUAAUAGGAUCCUGAAUGGGGUGUUAAAGGGUCGAGUGCUUUUGUCCUCCCUCCUCCUGAACACAAUAUAGCAGAACAGCCGCUCGAAUCUCGUCUCGGCGUCCUCCGUGCAGCUUCACCCUGUACGCUGGCGUGAGCGCUACACAAUUGUACCUUCAGCCCGCUUCAGCCAGUGUAUGUGAUGAAAUAGCAGACGUAUGUUGGUGUUUUCAGUGUGUGAAGUUUCAGUCUUUAGUUUAGCCCUUGAGCUUUAAAGGUAAAAUGGCUGCCGGUUAAUGGAAGCUUUUAUCCUCCAGUUUAUUUUGUGUGUGUGUGUAAAUAAAUCACAUGAUUGUAUUUUAUUUUUUUAAAAAUUGAUUAUAUUUAUACUUUAUACACAUAUUAAAUGUUUUAUUAUAUUUGAUAAGUGCAGUUUUGUGAGUCAUGUAUUUAGCUGGCUCACUGACAUCAGGACAUUGUGUAAACAUUAUUUUAAAAAA